rnacentral:rRNA from 1 species
CUGCUGCCUUCCGUAGGAGUUUGGGCCGUGUCUCAGUCCCAAUGUGGCCGGUCACCCUCUCAGGUCGGCUACUGAUCGUCGGCUUGGUAGGCUGCUACCCCACCAACUACCUAAUCAGACGCGGGCCCAUCUUAUACCACCGGAGUUUUUCACACCGGAACAUGCGUUCCUGUGCGCUUAUGCGGUAUUAGCAGUCAUUUCUAACUGUUAUCCCCCUGUAUAAGGCAGGUUGCCCACGCGUUACUCACCCGUCCGCCGCU